UGGUAGAGUAUACCAAGGCGCUUGAGAGAACUAUGUUGAAGGAACUCGGCAAAAUGACUCCGUAACUUCGGAAUAAGGAGUGACUUUAUAAAGGCAACUUUAUAAAGUUGUCACAAAAUCGGGGACAGCGACUGUUUAACAAAAACACAGGUCUCUGCUAAUUCGUAAGAAGAUGUAUUGAGGCUGACGCCUGCCCAGUGCUGCAAGAUUAAAGGAAAAAGUCUUUUGGCUUUGACCCUAACCCCCAGUAAACGGCGGCUGUAACUCUGACGGUCCUAAGGUAGCGAAAUUCCUUGGCAUUUGAUUGGUGUCCUGCAUGAAUGGCGUAACGACUGUCCCACUGUCUCCAACAUAAGCUCAGUGAAAUUGAAUUGUUCGUGAAGAUGCGAACUACUUGCAGCUAGACGGAAAGACCCCGUGCACCUUUACUAUAAUUAUACAUUGUAAUGAAUUUUUUUUUGUGUAGAAUAAGUGGGAAGUUGUUAUUUAAUUACUUGCGCUAGCAAGUAAAAUAAACACCGUUGAAAUACCACUCUAAAAACUUUUCAUUACUUAUUGAUUAAGACAUUGUAUAAUGGGUAGUUUGACUGGGGCGGUCGCCUC
rnacentral:rRNA from 1 species